CCUACGGGAGGCAGCAGUGAGGAAUAUUGGCCAAUGGGCUUACGCCUGAACCAGCCAAGUCGCGUGAGGGAAGACUGCCCUAUGGGUUGUAAACCUCUUUAGGCGGGGAGCAAUGCCGGGCACGCGUGCCCGGCGGGAGAGUACCCGCAGACUAAGCAUCGGCUAACUCCGUGCCAGCAGCCGCGGUAAUACGGAGGAUGCGAGCGUUAUCCGGAUUUAUUGGGUUUAAAGGGUGCGUAGGCGGAUUUUUAAGUCAGCGGUAAAAUGUCCGGGCUCAACCCGGGCCGGCCGUUGAAACUGGAGGUCUGGAGUGGGCGAGAGGUAGGCGGAAUGCGUGGUGUAGCGGUGAAAUGCAUAGAUAUCACGCAGAACUCCGAUUGCGAAGGCAGCAUACCGGGGCGCGACUGACGCUGAGGCACGAAAGCGUGGGGAUCGAACAGGAUUAGAUACCCCUGUAGUC
rnacentral:rRNA from 1 species